UAGGGAAUAUUGGACAAUGGGGGCAACCCUGAUCCAGCCAUGCCGCGUGAGUGAAGAAGGCCCUCGGGUUGUAAAGCUCUUUUGUCCGGAAAGAAAAGCUUCGGGUUAAUACCCCGGGGUUCUGACGGUACCGGAGGAAUAAGCACCGGCUAACUUCGUGCCAGCAGCCGCGGUAAUACGAAGGGUGCAAGCGUUACUCGGAAUUACUGGGCGUAAAGCGUGCGUAGGUGGUUGUUUAAGUCUGAUGUGAAAGCCCUGGGCUCAACCUGGGAAUGGCAUUGGAAACUGGGCAGCUAGAGUGCGGUAGAGGGUAGUGGAAUUCCCGGUGUAGCAGUGAAAUGCGUAGAGAUCGGGAGGAACAUCUGUGGCGAAGGCGACUGCCUGGACCAGCACUGACACUGAGGCACGAAAGCGUGGGGAGCAAACA
rnacentral:rRNA from 1 species